UGGGGAAUUUUGGACAAUGGGGGCAACCCUGAUCCAGCAAUGCCGCGUGUGUGAAGAAGGCCUUCGGGUUGUAAAGCACUUUUGUCCGGGAAGAAAUCGCACCUGAUAAUACCGGGUGUGGAUGACGGUACCGGAAGAAUAAGGACCGGCUAACUACGUGCCAGCAGCCGCGGUAAUACGUAGGGUCCAAGCGUUAAUCGGAAUUACUGGGCGUAAAGCGUGCGCAGGCGGUUGUGCAAGACCGAUGUGAAAUCCCCGGGCUUAACCUGGGAAUUGCAUUGGUGACUGCACGGCUAGAGUGUGUCAGAGGGGGGUAGAAUUCCACGUGUAGCAGUGAAAUGCGUAGAGAUGUGGAGGAAUACCGAUGGCGAAGGCGGCCCCCUGGGAUAACACUGACGCUCAUGCACGAAAGCGUGGGGAGCAAACAGG
rnacentral:rRNA from 2 species